AACGGCAUGCUAUUGCCCAGCCUUAUCUCUAGACCUUGGCACUAGAGGGGCAGGAACAGACUGGCAAGGCUGGGUACAAAAGAUAGAGGGAAAGGGGGGUAGGAAAAAGAGAAAGCGAGAGAGAAGGAGAAGGGGGGCUGAGAGAGAGAGAGAGAGAGAGAGCGAGAGGAGGGGGGCAUCCAGGGACCUCCCUGGCUAAGCAUGGGAGUGCACCAACACCCUCCACCCUCUCCCUCCAUUUAUCUGGCCCUGUGGGACCGGGUCUGCCACAGUCUCUCUCUGACCUCUCAGCUCCCAGAUGGAACACAAUGGGUCAACAGGGAGAAGACCUGGAGAGACCAGCAUAUACCUCACCCUAGCCACUGUAUCAAGACACACUUCAAAAAUAUGUUGCACUGAUUAAGUGGAUAGAGGAUCUUACAGACGCAUCACCAUUAGUUCUCAGUUGUCUUGAAAGCUCCAUAAAUCCAGAGAAUGACAGAUUUGAUGACAAAAUUUUCCCACAAAGGACCGCCGCACCACCUUCCUGUUCAAGUCAGCACAGCACAACAAG